GAGACACUGAAUGUCAGUUAGCAAAUAUUCCACGCACCCACGCCUCCAGGCUUCGGUAGAUUUUCAAGGCAGUGGGUGAGCCACUGUCUUGCCAGGACUCCCACUGACUCAAGGUCUUUCACUGCAACUACAACAUCCCUGUCACCUGGGGCAGGCUGGGUGAGUUUCCUUAAAGUCUGUAACUCCGAAGCCUCUGACUUCUGCUUGUCUUUAUGGAUCCUGCAUUUUUCUUUCCCUGUUCUUCCCUUUUCACCUCCCCUGUCAGUCCCUGCACUUUGUGAAUGCAGAAACUGAGCAUGGCGAUCUUGGAGGCAUGCGGCAUCAUCUCCCUUCAAGAGAGAAUCUGUUUAGCUGUAAGGAGUGCACCAAACUUAAUUGGAAAGAUAAAAGCACAGAAAGCCUGGGAGAAGAAACACAUCCUACUUGUGUUGAUAAAGGCAGCGUGGAUGGAGGAGAUGAUCUUUGAGUUGAGGCUCCAGGUCGUUCUUCACACACCUGUGAAAUGGCAGUGCUUACAUUCUUGCCUCCACUUUGCCCCAGAACAGAGCUUAGCACAUUCUUUAUUCCGUAUGGCUGAUCCCUUGGGGGACAGCACAGAGUGGUGACUUCUUCCACCAGCCUCUUUGCAAGAUAUAUCCAUGACUGAUGGCAGUAAUAAAUGCCCUGGAUUAUUUCCUAGACCAUCUUCUCCUUAUCUGGAAAGAGUACACAACAGCAGGAGCCCCAUGAAGUGGAUGCAGCAAGGACUCCUAGAAAUAAGGGUACAAGAGUGAAAUUCUACUUCCACUCCCCAUCUUCCCAGGCCGUAUAUCCACAGGCCAGCUGCUUUCUUCUAAGGACCUCAGUCUCUUCAUCUGCAAGGUGGAGAUGGCACAGUAUUUGUUCUUCACGUACACCAGUGGGUUACUUUUCAUUUGCACUUACUUUCUAUUGACUGAGAAAAUCCUAAAUAAUCAAUGAAUUUC
rnacentral:lncRNA from 1 species